UACAGAGGUCUCGAGCGUUGUUCGGAUUCAUUGGGCGUAAAGGGUGCGUAGGUGGCGUGGUAAGUCGGGUGUGAAAUCCCGGGGCUCAACCCCGGGACUGCAUUCGAUACUGCUGUGCUUGAGGACUGGAGAGGAGACUGGAAUUUACGGUGUAGCAGUGAAAUGCGUAGAGAUCGUAAGGAAGACCAGUGGCGAAGGCGGGUCUCUGGACAGUUCCUGACGCUGAGGCACGAAGGCCAGGGGAGCAAACGGG
rnacentral:rRNA from 1 species